CAGUCGUGCUGGCGACGAAAUCAACCUUCUCGUCUCGAGAUCACAUGGCGUGGCGAGCCUACAAAACCGUCACGAAGCGUGAACUCUUGGUAGAAAUGGAGCACUUUCGUGUCCGCUGGUUAACAUCUAAUUUCGAACGUCAAUAAAAAGGCUGGAGGGAUGUGGCUCCUUCGGGAGUGUUAUAACCUUUAGCGGAAUGUGGUGGUCGGGAUUGAGGAUUGCAACGAAUACCUUUAGGGCUGUUCCACCUGGCUUCUC
rnacentral:rRNA from 1 species